CACACGAGUCGAUGGGGGUUACU
rnacentral:piRNA from 1 species